CAGGGGUUCCAGUCAUUCCCGCAUGGUGUCCAGAAGAGGCAGGAUAGUUUCCGCAUGGUGGGAAUCGAACCCGGACGGUGAUUGCCACCACAGGCCCGUCCUGCCACUUGGACUACCUCGUCCGGACAGCUACUUUUUAUAUGCUUCUGCCUUUCGAUUUAACUUAAUAGGUUUUGCAAAAUCUAGUAUCCAUGUCUGUGUGCGUAUAUGUUUCGUGACGUUUGCUGAAUUCUCCGUUAUGAAUUGGUUUAUUAAAACCAGAAGAACAUGAAUGUUGAAGGUUGAAGCUUGUUGCUAGUAUUUUUGUAGUCUUGAAUGUGGAAGAAAGAUUUGCUAAACUGCUUAACAUCAAAGCCUCUUCUAGUUUUUCAUUCUCUCUCACCGGCAUGGAAAUAUACUAAAUUGUAGAAGGAAAAACGUCUCUUUGACAUGGUUUCUAAGAUAACUCAGUGUGCUGUGUAUUGCUGUUAGUAAGUACAUGUAGUUAGGUUAUGUGUGCAUGUCAGAUAUUGGAAUGUGUACCCAAAUUUAUUUGAGGAUUAGAGUCAUUAGACUUGUAGUAAGUGUUUUAAGUGGAAAGUACAUUGCAGACCAGCUUUAACAUUUUUUUUUUUUUUUUGUUUAAAUUGAUCAUUACAGGAAUUCCGGUUCAGGAUACAUGUGAUUUUAUAAACGUCGGUUGGUUCUUUGUGCGCUAAAUUUCUUUUACUUAUUUAUGUUGUGUAUUAGCUUUGCUAAUACUAUAUAGGCUGUCAACAAAUCUAGAAUGGAGAAGGGACUAUCCCUUGGCGUUGAGGAAACAGCAAAUUAUCAGUCAUGUAUACUGUUGCGGUAUACUGAAAAAAAGAAUAAAGAUUUCUUCUGUUUUUAUAAAAGCAAAUUGAAUUAUUUGAUAGUUCCAGCUUGCAACAUAUUAUAGAAGAUCUUCAAAGAGAGAAUGUUGCGGUAUCCCGCAAAAUAUAUAAAACGUCCUCUGCUGGCUUCUUUUACCAUCUUCAAUUCUAAUUCUUAGUAUAUAACAUAUUGUUAUAGAGAUCUCAAACUCAGGUUUUAUGGCAACACGUUUCAAAACCCUGCGUCUAAGUUUCAAGGUUUCAAAGUCAUGGCUGAUUCAGGUAUAGACUCUGAAGACUUUUACCCUUAUACACAGCUGUUGGUUCUUGUUUUUUAUUUAUGCACAUGAUUACUUAAUGUAGUAGAAUUACCUAAGCAUGCUUUUGAAACAUCCUACAAAAUAUCCAAGCAAUCUGGCAUGGUUAUUCAUAUGUUGAAGUUGCUAAACGUUUUUUUGGUUCAUAAAUGUUGAUGUUGGCAAGGCAUAUUGGAUCGAGCAAAGCAUUUUCUCUAGCAUCAAAUAUAUAUAUAUAAAAACGACAGCAUUUCUCCAUGAUCUAAUUUAAUAUUAUUUAAUUAAUUUUUAAAGGAGUCCCUUCAGAUUGUUGACUUUUGAUCUCCAUCAUCUACUAGUUCAGAGCCGUGUAGUUCAGAGAGGGGAUCUACAAAUCCUGUGAGUAAAAAUAGAAAGGUUCACUGAUUAUGGUUAGUAGAUAGAUGUGUACGGUUUAAGUGGCAUCUUCAGGUCUCUCUGUGAGUGACAUCUAUAGAAGGAGCGGCAACAAGUGAAAUGGUUCAGGAUGCGUUGAGAACCUCCGGAAGUGGUGGAGGACUUCCGAAAACGGCUGUAUCUAAUGGCGGAGGGAGAGGCCGUGGCUUGUUGUUACGCGGCUGGCAGGUCCAGAAUACCUCAAUGAACAUCAAAAUCAUGAUUCUCUGCGGCUUCGUGACCAUUCUCGUUUUACUUGGCACAGUCAGUUUUGGUAACCUUGGAAGCUCCAACGCUGACGACGCUGUUAAUCAAAAUCUCAUCAAGGAAACCAAACCGAUUCUUGCCAAGAGCCCAUCUGCUUCGGUUCCGAACGACUUGGACUUGGAGGAGCCGCCGAAAGCUGAGGUUAAUCCCAACGUGACGUACACUCUAGGGCCCAGGAUCACCAACUGGGACAGUCAACGCAAGGUAUGGCUAAAUCAGAACCCUGGGUUUCCUAGUAUAGUCAACGGCAAAGCUAGAAUCUUGCUUCUUACCGGGUCUCCCCCUGGACCCUGUGACAAACCCAUUGGAGACUAUUAUCUAUUGAAAUCAGUGAAAAACAAGAUUGAUUACUGUAGGAUUCACGGGAUAGAGAUUGUGUACAACAUGGCACAUCUAGAUGAGGAACUCUCAGGGUAUUGGACGAAAUUACCUAUGAUUAGGAGAUUAAUGCUGUCUCAUCCAGAAGUAGAAUGGAUUUGGUGGAUGGAACCUACAGUGAGGUUCACAUCAGGGGGAGUAGUGCGUGUUGUACUCUUUUUCCUUCAUCAUGGUUUUGUCCCACUGGGUUUUCUUUAUAAAGUUUUAAUGAGGCAACAUGAAGCGUACUACAAAUCCUGUAUGGUUAUGGCAUCCAAGAGGGAGUGUUAUAAAUCAUGGAGUGGAUUGCCAUUAACCAGACCCGGUCCAAGACCGGCCCAAUACCUAGAAGAUGGAGAGACGGCCGAAGCCCUAGAGAGAGCCGACUUCAGGAGAGAGAGAGGCGGCCACAAAGCUUAGAGAAAAUGAAACUCUUUCCUUUUUCUAGUAGAUGUAAUCUUUCCAUUAUUAUGUAUUAGUAGUUUUCCUAAUCCUAGUGAGUUUAGGUUUUAGAUACUUUCCAUUUAUCUUCAUCUUGUAAUCCUUAUAUAAAGGAACCCCCUUGAUCGUUAAUAAGAACACACAAAAAAAUAUUCAGUCUCUAAACUCUCUAAUUCAUUAAAAGUAUCAGUGUAAUUAACCAGCAUGAGAGUUAACGUGAGAGCGACACAUAAGAAACUGAAUCCUCAAAUAAUGUUAUAAAGAUUUAUAUAGAUAAAUAAUAAGAUUAUACAUUAAAGUAAAUAUCCGCAUAGGUCCGUUUAGGCGUCCGCGUAUACAUCUAGCCGCUAGGCACUACGAUCACCUGGAUAGCCUAUUUUAGAACACUGGUGUUGACUAUAAAAGCUUUUAGCUUAGCCAUUGGUUCAUUGUAACAAUAUUUAAUUAUUAUUCAAUUGUAAAAUAAUUGGUCAGAUUGGAGAAUCCUGAUAGCCUCAAAUUGUUUUCUCGACCCAAUGAUCUCAGGAGGAACAUAAAGGAUUCACCUUUUAGUGAGAGCUAGAGAGAGAGAGAGAUUGAAGAAGGAAGAAACUUGGAGAGAGAAUAAACACGUAGGAGGGUUCUAGUCCGUGGUUGCAAACGAAGGACGCACAAGAGUACACGACGAUACUCUCUGCGUUGCUUCCUCCUUUCAAUUUAAUUCCUUCUCUUUCCCCCAAAUUGUCAAUCUUUCAAUUUCGUUGCUCGAUGUCGCACGAAGAGUCUCUUCCGGCAUUCACUUUGUUCGGUUUGGAUGAUGUCGAAAACUAUGGUCUGGUGAGUGCUUAUGAUCACUUGAUUGGUUCCUUCUUUGAUAUCAUGUUCUAACUGAGGCUUGUAUUAAUUCACAUCAUCAUUGAGGUUGAUUAUCUGAGACUUUUGUUCUUGAUAUUGCAGGUCAGUGAAGCUGACAAUUCAUUGCCUUUGGACAUACACAAUCAGGUGUUUCAACUUGUUGAGAAGGGAAACCAAUCAUUCAAAGAUUCUCGCUUUGAAGAGGUGAAUUAUUGAAUCUCUCUUUUUAAGUUUUUUUUUUCUCUUGGUCUUGCUACUUCAUUAGGAAUUGCCUGAAACGAAGCAGUGAUUAGUUCAAAGCAAACUGAUUUGUUCUGUAUGUAUUGGAUGUCUUGUAGCUUUUUGGUGUAAUUUACUUUUGGAGUAAGUUUCUUGCUGAACAUGAUAAUGAUCGUAGCACUUUUCAUAUGAUACAUACAAAUGCUUACUGUCUUCCAACAGAACAUUCUGUAAAUUUGUUAAAGUUUAAAGCUUUGGUGCUGAAACUCUCAAAUGAGACUCUCAAUUAUGUUCUUGCCAAUAACAUAUCUUUUUUCUUCUUCCAGGCGAUUAGCAAUUAUUCAAAAGCCUAUUCUAUUAAGCCUCUUGACCCUAUUGUUCUAAGCAAUAGAAGUGCUGCUUAUAUAAGGUAAGCUUUCAUCUAACCUUUUCCAGACUUCCAAUGGAAUUUUCAUGUUGUUUAACUAUUUUUUUCCCUUUUACUCGGUUCACAAAUUUUACCGGUACUGACACAUUCUUAUAUCUUUCCAUCUUUCAACCUCUUGUUUUUUUUUAAGACUUGGACAAUAUCUGAAGCAGAGAUCUGCAUCAGUUUCGGAAUAUACACCUCUGAACGGUUUUGAUAUGUCGAUGCUUGGUGAAGUAUGUACUCUACUUACUUAACCUAUUUUACUAGCAGUUGCAAAAUUCAUCAACUCUGACUCACCCUUGAAAACCUGAUAAUUUCCUACAGCUUGCUCUCAAGGAUGCUGAUAAGCUAAUGAAUCUCCAGAGCAGUUCAGUGAAUUCAUAUACCACAAAGGCUUGUGCCCUCAUGUUGGUAUGUGCCAAAUUAUUCUUAUAUUCAUUUUUCUUUUAGUCAACAAAUCUUUAUCGCUUGUCUUUAUUUCAAGGUACUAUCAAGAGUUUCUCAGUCUGCUUCGUUUCACAAUUGUCAAUUUUGUUUUGAUUCUGCAGCUAGAAAGAUAUGAGUUAGCACGUGACACUAUCCUCUCCGGUCUACAGAUUGAUCCUUUUAGGUACAGUAGUCUAUGUGUACCAUUUCUGAUUCUGUCUUGAUGCCUAAUAGAAUGUGUAGUUUCUAAAGUGUGAGGUUUCUUUAUGAUUGCAUGAAGUUAUCCUCUCCGAUCCAAUCUUCAGGAAUUGGAGAAGGUCAUGCCUACGUCGAUGAGAAAGACACAUGGAAAGGCUGAGAGGACUGAUGACUUUGAUUGCACCGUUUGCCUGAAACUGCUGUAUGAACCUGCUACAACUCCAUGUGGGCAUACAUUCUGCCGAUCAUGCCUCUUUCAGUCUAUGGAUCGUGGUGAGUUUAUACUUUAUAUGGUUCUUCUCUUUACUAUUGUGUUGUUUAUUAAUGCUUUGUGGAAUAUAUAGGCAACAAAUGUCCACUAUGUCGAACUGUCAUUUUUAUGACUCCAAGAACAUGCGCUGUCAGGUAAAAAGGAUUGGAACGCUUAUGCUUUAAGAUUCUUAAAGGUCCAAUGCCAUACCAUGUAAUAGUAUAUUGGAACGCUUAUGCUUUAAUAUUAUGUGAUGGCAGUGUGACAUUGAAUAACAUCAUACAAAAGAACUUCCCAGAGGAGUAUGCCGAAAGGAAAUCAGAGCAAGACACUCUGGUCCACUUAGGGAAUGAAAGUAUGCCUCUUUUUGUCAUGGAUGUGAUCAUCCCUUGUCAGAAGUUGUCUCUUCACAUAUUUGAACCAAGAUAUAGACUAAUGGUGAGUUCUUUCGUUGUCUUUCACGGUUCUGUACAUUUUAAAACUCCCCUGGCUCGCUUUCACAAAAUUCUUAAAUGAUAUAAGAAGUAAAAGCUGUUGUAAGGUCUUCAUAAAUACAUAUCUCAUUUAGGAGAAGAAUAAGCCAAGAAAGUCAAAUGUAGUCAAGAUAAAAGGGGUCUCUACAUAAGAGCUAGUGGAUUGAAACUUCUAUGGUUCACUCUAGCUUGCAGCAGUAUUGCUAUUUGCAUUCAGAAAACUUCUAUCUGAAUAUCUACAAGUCUCUUUGAUAGUUGUACUUUGAUUAACAUGCGCUAACUGAAACAGGUGAGAAGAAUAAUGGAAGGAAACCAUAGGAUGGGAAUGGUGGGUGUUGUGUCUUUUGCCUUAUUGCUUCUUGACUAUACAUUCAUAAAACGUUUCUGACUACUAAGUUUGCCCAUUCUAAUGUUCAUAGGUAGCUCUUGAUUCUGCGACAGGUUCACCAGUGGAUGUUGCUUGCGAAGUCGAAAUCACAGAGUCUGUUGCUUCUUUCUUUAUGAUAAUUCUUAAUGUCCUUCAGUAGAUGAGUUUAUCUCGGGAUCUACUCACACAGAGUCUGCUAAUGUUUUGGAAUUACACAGGUGUGAUCCACUUCCUGAUGGGCGUUUUGUCCUGGAGGUGAAUAUUAUUUACUUCUCUUGUGGCUUUAUUUAAUGUGUAAGUUGUCAAAGGAUCAACUUAGUAUAUCUGCUUUUUUCAGCUUGAAAGCCAUAGAAGGUGUCGCAUUGUAAAAGCUUGGGAUCAAGAUGGGUAAGCUUAGUAUGAUUUGUUUGAGUGGACCACUGUCAUUUCCGAAUAUGAUUGUUCUUAAGCUUAGCAUUGCAGUUGGAUCUCUAUCUCAUACUCUAAUCAUUUCCAGUAGUAUGACAGUACUUGAUCUUUUUAUUCCUGAUUUUCUCCUUUUAAACAUAGUCUAUGCUUUCGUGUUAAGAGUGUGGUAGUUACAUGUUCCUACAUCGAAUAUUUCCAUAAAUUUUUCAACAUAUGUGAAGAUCAAAUAUUCAAUCCACAUGCAACAUGGGUGUGGAACUUUGUGUCGUACAUGUAUUAUCAUUUUGGUCAUAUCCAAACACAAAUGCAUAGCUUCUAAAUAUCUUUUUUGUUUUUUCAGAUAUCGUGUUGCAGAGGUUGAAUGGGUGACAGAUAUACCACCACAAAGCGACCAAGAGAAAGCAGAUGUAUGAUUACAUCUCUUUAGCUUAUGGCAUUACAAUACUUCUUUGCCUUUAUAACGAGUUUAUUUCCCUUUCUUAUUUUCACUUUUCUUUGCGACUUGUUACAGCUGCGGGAACUGACGACUAGUGCAGCAUCAUUUGCUCGGUCAUGGCUAGAGAGAGCAAAGGAAGCAGCUAGACAAGGAGGUAAGAAACUAUUUUUAUCAAGCUGCGAAACGAAAGUGAACUAACUAGUCAUGAGUUCUGUUUUAUGACAGUAACUAUUAGUUGUGCCACUUUGUAUGCUAAUUAGCCUUUUAGCAUUUUCAGACAUGAUCUAGUCUUUCACUUCUUCUUUUUCAGACAGAAGAAGACUUGAAACACUUCUAAUUGUUGAAUCUAUGAUGCCUACACCUCAAGAUCCAGAGCGCUUCAGUUUCUGGGUAAUGCUGUUAAAUUUGCAAAGCUCUCUCUAAAGCACAAACUCUUGGGAUAUAUUGUUUCUCAAUGUCUUUAUUUUUUUGGGGGGGGGCGUCAGCUUGCGACAUUAACAGAUAGGAGACCUUUAGAAAGAUUGGAACUACUUCGGCUUCAGGAUACUGGAGAGGUACUUGAAUAUCAACUAGUCUACUUUGCUUGAUAUGAGAUUGUAUCUGUUUCACUUCUUUUGAUUUUGGGAACUUUUUGUUGCAGAGAAUAAGGCGCGGGUUGAUAUAUCUUCGGUCAGUAGAACGAGGAUGCACAAUGCAAUGAACCGUCACCGUGUACAAGCAAGAGAUCAAACUUGGGAUCUGUUCAUAAGAAAUUUGACAAAAAAAAAACAUGAUUUAUUGAAGGAAUACAAAAAUAUAAGAGAUUAUUGGGGGGAUAGAUAUCAUCAUGUUGUGUAUUGAAACCAGACUACCAUAUUGUUCGUCAUGGUGAUCCUUGUAGGAUCAUUAUUCAAUUUCAACUCAACACUUUAUUAAGACAUAACAAGUGAAAAGCCAUUGAGCAAUUGAGGCAUCUAGUAAAAUAAACUAAUGUAACAUAGCAUUGAUGAUCUUUAAAUCUACAUGACAUCAACAUAAUCCACAUUGUAUAUUUCGCAUUUCUGACACUUGACAAUUUCUUUGACAGCAAAUCGCACUCUUGAUGAGGUUUAUUUGUCUUAAAUUCAAAAGUUGAAGGCUUUUAUUGAAUUAGAUGAAAGUCGGAGGUUCAUUUCAGAUAUUCAGAAAAGAAAGAAAAUAAAUUAAGAUGCGUCCAUAACAAAGAGUUAAUAAUAAUAAUGCAUCACUGUCUUAAACAUAAAAGGAUAUACGCGGGGCAGAGGAUAACUAUUUGAUCGGAAUCAGAUGGCGGAGGAAACUCUGUCUGUCGUCGUCGAUGACCUCCGUCUCCUAUCGGAAUCUCUCCCCUUCCUCACUACGAUUCUCUUUCGUUUCUGCACAUUGCACAAUCUCCUACCCGAUCUCUCUGUCUCUCUCGGGCGCUUUUUUUUUUUUUAUUUAUUUUUUUUUUUAAUAAUCCAGGGGUUCCAGUCAUUCCCGCAUGGUGUCCAGAAGAGGCAGGAUAGUUUCCGCAUGGUGGGAAUCGAACCCGGACGGUGAUUGCCACCACAGGCCCGUCCUGCCACUUGGACUACCUCGUCCGGACAGCUACUUUUUAUAUGCUUCUGCCUUUCGAUUUAACUUAAUAGGUUUUGCAAAAUCUAGUAUCCAUGUCUGUGUGCGUAUAUGUUUCGUGACGUUUGCUGAAUUCUCCGUUAUG
rnacentral:lncRNA from 1 species